rfam:Bacteroides xylanisolvens XB1A draft genome.
CCAUAAAAUUACAAAAGACAAUGAGAACAAUGUUAGUAAAUACAUAUUGGUGGUGGCGCCCGUUACAACUCCGACAGUCGUAAGGGAGCAGUGCUCGUAUGUAUAUACCUCAUUAAAGAUAUAACAAAUUUGAAAGAGCCCUGUC